rnacentral:rRNA from 1 species
UUGGAGGGCAAGUCUGGUGCCAGCAGCCGCGGUAAUUCCAGCUCCAAUAGCGUAUAUUAAAGUUGUUGCAGUUAAAAAGCUCGUAGUUGAAUUUCGGGAUCAAUGUUUCGGUCAUGCCGUUGGUAUGUACUGAUAUUAUUGAUUUCUCACCUUCUAAAGAACCGUAAUGCCAUUAAUUUGGUGUCACGGGGAAUUAGGACUGUUACCUUGAAAAAAUUAGAGUGUUUAAAGCAGGCUCACGCUUGAAUACAUUAGCAUGGAAUAAUGAAAUAGGACAUCCGAUUCUAUUUUGUUGGUUUCUAGGAUCGAUGUAAUGAUUAAUAGGGAUAGUUGGGGGCAUUAGUAUUCAAUUGUCAGAGGUGAAAUUCUUGGAUUUAUUGAAGACUAACUACUGCGAAAGCAUUUGCCAAGGAUGUUUUCAUUAAUCAAGAACGAAAGUUAGGGGAUCGAAGACGAUCAGAUACCGUCGUAGUCUUAACCAUAAACUAUGCCGACUAGGGAUCGGAUGAUGCUAAUUUUUUAAUGACUCAUUCGGCGCCUUACGGGAAAC